rnacentral:rRNA from 1 species
CUAAUACAUGCAAGUCGAACGAGUUCUGAUUAUUGAAAGGUGCUUGCAUCUUGAUUUAAUUGUGAACGAGUGGCGGACGGGUGAGUAACACGUGGGUAACCUGCCCUUAAGUGGGGGAUAACAUUUGGAAACAGAUGCUAAUACCGCAUAAAUCCAAAAACCGCAUGGUUCUUGGCUGAAAGAUGGCGUAAGCUAUCGCUUUUGGAUGGACCCGCGGCGUAUUAGCUAGUUGGUGAGGUAACGGCUCACCAAGGCAAUGAUACGUAGCCGAACUGAGAGGUUGAUCGGCCACAUUGGGACUGAGACACGGCCCAAACUCCUACGGGAGGCAGCAGUAGGGAAUCUUCCACAAUGGACGCAAGUCUGAUGGAGCAACGCCGCGUGAGUGAAGAAGGCUUUCGGGUCGUAAAACUCUGUUGUUGGAGAAGAAUGGUCGGCAGAGUAACUGUUGUCGGCGUGACGGUAUCCAACCAGAAAGCCACGGCUAACUACGUGCCAGCAGCCGCGGUAAUACGUAGGUGGCAAGCGUUAUCCGGAUUUAUUGGGCGUAAAGCGAGCGCAGGCGGUUUAUUAAGUCUGAUGUGAAAGC